rfam:Cryptococcus bestiolae CBS 10118 unplaced genomic scaffold supercont1.10, whole genome shotgun sequence.
AUCUACGACCACAGACUGAAUGAACUACCGCAUCCCGUUAGCUCUGCGAAGUCAAGCUUUAGAUCGCUCGGUUAGUACCGAAGUCGGGGACGAUUUAGGAAUCCCGGGUGUUGUAGAUA